rnacentral:tRNA from 1 species
GAGGCGCUAGUUAAAUUAUAACCAUACCUUGUCAAGGUACCAUUACAGGCCAAACCCCUGUGCCCCUCU